rnacentral:rRNA from 1 species
CAUGUAGGCGGAUUGAUAAGUUUGAAGUGAAAUCCUAUAGCUUAACUAUAGAACUGCUUUGAAAACUGUUAAUCUAGAAUGUGGGAGAGGUAGAUGGAAUUUCUGGUGUAGGGUAAGAUCCGUAGAGAUCAGAAGGAAUACCGAUUGCGAAGGCGAUCUACUGGAACAUUAUUGACGCUGAGAUGCGAAAGCGUGGGGAGCAAACA